rnacentral:rRNA from 1 species
CAGUAGCCACGGGAAUACAGAGGGUGCGAGCGUUAAUCGGAUUUACUGGGCGUAAAGCGUGCGUAGGCGGCUAAUUGAGUCGGAUGUGAAAUCCCCGAGCUUAACUUGGGAAUUGCAUUAGAUACUGGUUAGCUAGAGUGUGGGAGAGGAUGGUAGAAUUCCAGGUGUAGCGGUGAAAUGCGUAGAGAUCUGGAGGAAUACCGAUGGCGAAGGCAGCCAUCUGGCCUAACACUGACGCUGAGGUACGAAAGCAUGGGGAGCAAACAGGAUUAGAUACCCCUGUAGUCCCUGUCUCUUAUAC